rnacentral:lncRNA from 1 species
GGGGGACAAAGUCAGUAAACCAAGUUUUUGAUUCAAACAGAGAAACUCAACCUGAUACUCAGAACAUCCUCAAAACCAUAGCAGUCUAACGAAGCAACCCAUUAAACAGAUUACAAAGCCAAGGUUAGGUACUAACCUUAACUAAAUAAGCAGGGGUGCCUGGUUGAGGAACAUCAGCAGUAACAUGUCCACGCCUACGAGACAAUACAGUGUAGAUCGCAGAUACACAAUCUAUUGGAGUUUGAAUCUGAUGCAAAGGCCAGUAGAAUAACAUUGCCAUCAUAGCAAGUAUCAGUGAAAUAGUAAAAUUAUUGGUCUCAAAAUUCAAUCUAGAAUUAGUGUAAAUAUAAGAAUGAUUUUGCUAGCUUCUGUAAAUUAUAUUAUUCUGGCCAUACUUAAUUAGCCAUGCUUUUAAAUUAAAAUGGUGAACAUGCUCUGCUAAACAGCUUGAAUGCAGAUCUUUCUGACAAUAUGUAAUAAUCAAUGAGUUAAAAUGUCAGAAACCACAAUGAUUACAACCAAAUUUGAUACGCAGCCAUAAAUGAAGUAUAAAAUAACAAGAAUAUACCUCUACAUAAUAUACUGGUUCCAUUAACCUAGGGGUAGCCAUAAGGAAAGAUGAAUAAGCCACUCGUCGAGCAGUUGGAAUGAUUUGGCCAGAUCCCCGAUUAAGUGGCUCUGGGGCAAUCCUUGCAUCAACAAUCUUAAACUUAACAUUUCUGAUGGGCUCAUCGCAAAGAGGUCCUUCUCGUGCACCCCAUUGAAAUCUGUUAAAUAACAAAAAUAAAAUAAAAUUUACAAUAUACGAUUAAUUGAUCAACACAUCUAAAUAGUUCAAUGUAUUGUAUGCCUACCCCUGAACAAUGGAGUCCUUAACAGCAUUUAGCAGGUUCUUGUCAACUUCAGUUGGAAGGGUGUCGUCCAACAGAAUAUUGGGGCCCUGCAUUAUCCUUGAAUAUGUUACACACAAAUUCCAGGAGACAGACAGAGCAAUAGACAGAUACAGAGACUUACCUGCUUAUCAGGGCCAAAUGCCCAGAUUGAUCGCGCAGCAAGAAGAUCCCAGUCAUAUUUAGUCUGGAAAAAUUCACCCAGUUUCUUUCUAUUCCAGUCAGUGCUAACAACACCAUUCUCUAUGUCUUCAGCAAGACCUCUUUCUAGUGGCUCAGCAAUCUAAAGAAUGAGCAAGGUUAUCAUGAAUGAAAUGAACAAUAAAUCAGUCUCAGUAAAAUAAAAGUAUUCUUAAGCUGCAUAUUAUACUUCAAGAAGCCUCCACAAUAAGAUAGACAGGAAGACACCUACCAUUGUUAUUUUAUUCUUCUUGUUUGGUGUUUCAGCAAAACAUUUCAUUGAUGAAGAUUCAACAACAGUUUCACAAAACGAAACUACAGGAUCUGCUACCUACAAAUACAGAGUAAAGGAUAAUCUUCAAUAAAGGAACAGCUUAUAAGUCAAUGUCUAGCCCAAAAAGGGAAUGAAAAUCUAUGACAGGAGAACUGAGAAGGGAAAAGGGAAACAAUAUAAGACCUUGACUUCGACUUCAGAAUAGAGCUCUCUUAGGUCCUUCAUAAUUGAAUCCAAGUACAGCUCGCCAGUCCCUAGUAUAGUGUGCUCCCCAGACUCCUCAACUUUAGUAACCGCUAAAGGAUAACUCUUGCUAAUUUUCCUCAGGCCCUCCACCAUUUUAGGCAACUCGCUUGGAUUUAAUGGCUCAGUCGCUGUUUUCACCACUGACAGAGUAUUGAACAGGAGAGGGCGGAAUAUGUAUACAUCCUCAUCAUAAUCGACAUUACAUAGAGUGGCGGUUUUCAUGAUUGAAGCAUCCACACCUUCAAUAAGAACCCAAGAACCUGGAGGAGCCUCCGAUAUUGGCAUCCUAUCACGGGCUUGAUAUACCCACAACUUAGUUACUUCUUUUACAGUCAUGUCCUCCUCAUCAUCCGGUGAGUAUCCUUCUCCCAGAACACGUACUGUCUGUCCAGUCUGUAUCUUGCCACUAUAAACUCGACCAAAAGCAUCAAAGACACUACAAUCAGACUUUGGAUACAGCUUGGUCACAUUAACCAUUAGGGGCCCUGAAGAAUCACACUGUGUCAUGGCUUUGUAGAUGGAUGAGUCUUUCGGUCCGGUAUAUAUAUGAUCAACUUUCUUUACUGCGGCAUCUCUCGGGGAAGGUAUAUGCUGAACAAGCAUAUCAGUGAAACCUGAAGCUUGACCAAAAACAGAGCUACAAGCCAGCCUUAGCAAUGGUCUAACAUUUAAUCUAUAAGCUGCAUUACUUAGAGUAACUCCAAGUUCUGCUAGAGUUGUCUCCACACUUUUCUUAUGCUCCCCAAUUACUUGGCUAUAUAUCUUGUAAAGCGGCUCCAGUACAAACUCAACAAAAGAUCGUUCUCCUCCACUGACAGGGGGUUUCUUUUUGAAGGUUCUGGUAUCAGGAUGAAAAUAGUAGUCUCCCCAAAGGCGAGAAGCAAAUUUAUUAGGCUCCAAAGGAACUCCAUGUAGCUUCCCAUACAAUUUAGCAAAUGAUUGCAAUGUAAAAGACCACCCAGCAGUGCCACUUGCAAAACAAACAUUCCCAGCAACUGGAUCUAUAACUUGGACAUCACCCGCAGUCGAGGAGGCAGCAGAUAUGUGAGUGUUAAUGACUUCCAAAGUAUGCCUUAUUUUAUGAUAAGCAUCUUUUGGGGGUAGUUUAAGUUCAGUUAUGAUCCUGUCAACCUAAAAACACAACACUUAACAACUAGGAAUAAAACAGGAGUAUAUGUAAGACUAAGACCUACAGCUGACAUUCAUGUUAAGGAAGAAUUAGUGUACCUUAUUGAGUACAACAACAAUGGGCAGUCGCUCCUGAAUCGCAUGGCGAAUUGCUCUCUCAGUGUUUACCUACAAAUCCCAAGAACUAAAAGCUCAACGUUAUGCAGUUAUGUCAUUGUAACUGAUACUAGGUAAAUCAGCAUUGAACGCAAUUAGAUGAAUAAACAUUGUAAGCUCCAUAUUAUAUGAUCGGUCUAGUUAGCUGAUUUCUAUCCCUAAUUUAUGGUUCACCCACGUAAUUAUACUUUUUAACGUAGUUUUUUUGUAUGUCACAAUUCUGUAACAUUAUUAUUACUUCUGGUAUAAUAACCUAACAAAUAGAUCAUAGUCUUCGUAUAAGUUUGAAAAAUGAUAGAGCAUACUAAUUGUUAUUCAAACCCUGAUUUUAACCCUUUUCCCAAGCCAAUUUUUAUACACACCUUACCCUUUUCCUUUCUAAUGACAUCUUCUACGUCUUUUUUUCCCUCUAUAUGCCUAUAUAGAUUUGGAAAUGCAAUUUACUCUCAGCUGAAAUUGACCAACACCCAAAAGUCUAAACAUCAAAAUGGAUCAACAGCACUAAUUAACAAGGGAAUGGGAAGAAGAAAAAGGGUUACCAUCACUCCCUCAGCAGCAUCAACGACCAAAACAGCACCAUCAGCGAGCCUCAAAGCGGCGGUCAUUUCAUCGGAGAAGUUAACAUGGCCAGGAGUAUCCAUAAUAUUACACAAAUACGACUUGGAGUUACUAUCCUCCAGCACCAUCGUCAUGGGCACAGCCUUGAUCGAAAUCCUCCUCUCCUGUUCAUCAAUCCUCGUAUCAGUAUACCGCAAAUGCUUCUCACUCUGUGAAUCAAACGUGGACAUAUGGUGAGUCUGCUCCACCAGCAUAUCCAUGAACACCGUCUUCCCAUGCUGCAAGUGCCCCACAAGAGCCACAUUCCUAGCCAACGAAGGGUUCGACAUGAGACCCAGAAGAAAUUGUGACGAAACGUAGGUUGACGAAUCCUUCACGCCAACCUCGAACUUCAUCUUCCUCACAGGCUUGAUAAUGGGUUGCUCCAGUGGCUGUUCAUCUUCAUCCAUGACUAGGGUUUCCACAUCUUCGCCGAAGACUUCUUCGGCGGUGGGGUAGUACUUCUUGUCCUCCGCCAGGACCACCUGGUUGUCGACCAUGUCGACGUCGUUGGGGUCGCCGGAUGCGGUGAUCCAGCCAUUGGUGGCGGGAGCCUCGCCGUCGGAAGGUUGGGCGGUGUCGGCGUCGGAAGGCUGUUCGUCGUCGGAAGGUUCUCUGUCGGAGUCUUGGUCGGACUCGAUUUCGGGUCCGAUGUAGUUGCCGAACUCGUCGUACAAGCUAUCGUCCAUUUUGGAAGAUGCAGUGAGAUUGGAGAGAGUUGAGUGUGGUGUAGAGUGUGAGCUUCAGAGAAGAAGGGGUUUUUUUGGGUUUAGGGUAAGAAGAGAAGUGAGUAGAGGGAAUGGAAGAUGGGAAUUGCAGGAGAGUGGGCUGGGCUAGGCUGAGUUGAUGGGCCUUAACUCUUAGGGGGCGUUUGUUUCAAGGAAUAUGAUUACCGGUGUUAUUCCUGAGUAAAUUUUAUAAAUGUGUUUGGUAAGUAUUUUGUAUUCUCGGGAACAUUUUAAAAUUUUCUUAAUUUAAAAAUUAAAAAAACUUAAAAAUAAAGGUAAAAAUGAUAAAUUGUUGAAGAAGUGGGAAGUUACAUUCAUCUUUCCCAUGGGAAUGUAAGAUUCCCAACCUUUUUCAUGGGAAUCAAUAUGAAGGAAAUCAUGGGAAUGGUGGAAGUUAUUUUAUUCCCGGGAAUGAUUAAUACCCAGGAAUCAUAGUUUCCAAUAUUGUAACAAACGCAGGAAUGUUCAUUCUCAACCUUCAUAUUCCCGGGAAUCUCUUUCCAAAUCUUGAAACAAACGCCUCCUUAGGGAGCCUUUGUUAGAGAGUUCAAUUUCACAUCACACUUUUUGGUAAAAUAUUAUAAUAUCUCAACUUAAAUUCUUUAUCGAGUUCUGAAAACCCAAAAUGUGUGGUACUCUUUCAGGAUUUUAAAACCCGAAACAUAAUUCAUAGUUUCAUACUAUUUGUUUUGGGUUUUCGAUUUUCGAAACAAAAAACUAAACACUUUCGAGAAUUUUAAAACUCGGCUUAUGUUAUUUUUAACAUAUAUUGUACUUUUGUUUCCGAGUUUUAAAAAAAGGAAUGUUUAUCAAAUGUGUUUCAGAUUUUUAAUUCCUGAAACACAAAUCCAAACAUUUCUGUGAAUUUUAAAACCCGAUAUAUGUUCCGGAUUUUAAAAACUGAAAUUUAAAAUAAGAUGUUCGUGUUUUGAGUUUUACAACUCAGAAUGCUCCAACAAAUGAAUAAAAGGAUGAGGGAAAUGAAUGGAGAGAGGGGAAAUGGGUAUUUUGGAGUAUUGAAAUUUUAAGUAGGGUGAGAAAUUAAAUGGGUGGGAUGAGAAAUUUAACACUUGUUUGUUACGUGGGUUUUAAAAUGCAUUCUUGAGAAUAAGAGUGCGAGAUAGAAAAUUCUCAUGUUUUGGUAUAAGAAUAGAAAAAUAGAUAGUUAGAUGUGAAAUAUUCUCGAGUAUCAGAUUUUCUCACAUUUAUACGUUGCAAGUGGUUAGCAAUUCACAUCUUAUUCUUCGUGUGUGUUCGUGAGCUCCAUUUGCAGCUGCUCACAGUUAGGGUUCUUCUCCUUAAUUCUCCUUUGGCUUAAUUGCACUUUUGGUCCCCCACUUAUACCAAUUGUGCGAUUUUGAUCCUUAAAAAAAAUAGCAAUUUUCAUCCCCCACGUUACCUAUCGUUUGCACUUUUAGUUUUCCGUCUCAUUCCAUCCAAAAUUUAACGGUUUCUGGGAUAAAUAAUAAAUUUAAAAUAAUAAAAUAAUAAAUCCCAGCAACCAUCAUCCAUUAUUCAUCUUCUUCAAGCAUCUUCUUCAUCACAUUUAUUUGAAUCUUGAGAAAACCAGAAAUACAUACCCCAAACCCAACAACCCCCAAAAUUGACCCUAGGAUUUUAGAAAGAGAGAAAUAAUCAGUCUGCAUCAUGGAUACACACAAAGAACACCUAAAUCCAGUCCAUAAAAUAAAAUAAAAUAAAAACCAUUUCUUUUUCGUCCAAAUCCAGCCACAAAAACCAAAAGUUUCAAACUUUAACACAAUACCCACAUGCAAUGUCACUAGGGAUGGCAACGGGUAGGAUCGGGCACGGGUUUUACAAUUACCAAACCCAAACCCAAAUCUCAAAACCCAAACCCAAACCCAAACACAAACCCUUAUGGGCGAUAAAAUGAAAUCCAUGCCCAAAUCCAUUGGAUUUCGGAUUUACCCGAAACCCAAACCCAUUAGUUACGUAGCAACUCAAUCAAGAACUUACUUUCAUAUAAAAAAAAAGUGAAUUUCAUAUAAAGAAAAAAAAAUAUUAUUCAUCAUCCUCAUCCAUCACUAAAGUGAGACAACAAUAGUUUAAAGUUUACUUUCUCAAACAUACAAAAGUACAAUUAAUCAUCAAACACUAAGAACAAAGUUUAUAAAUAUAUAUAUAUAUAUAUAUAUGAGGGUUUUUUUGUAAUUUUAUGUUUCAGGUAUCUUUGGGUUCGGGUUUGGGCGGGUAUGGGCACGGAUUUAACUAAUACCAAAUCCAAACCCAUAAAUGGCUACAGUAACGGGCAAAACCCAAACCCAAAUCCAGUCAACUCGGAUUUUGCCCGUCAAAUCAGAUCGGGUUCGGGCGGGUACCCAUGGGUUUGGGCAAAAUUGCCAUCCCUAAAUGUCACGAAUUCAGAGGAGAAUUAAAAGAAAAAUCCAAAAUUCAAAGGGCAAUCUCAGCGUCUCUCUCCCAUGAAUCCUCUAUGUAUCUCACCAAGAGUUCUGAAAUUUUCUCCUCUUCUUCUCCAAGAAGCCCUAGCCGCCACCUCCUCUCUCUCUCCCCCAUGGAAGCGCCGUCACCACCUCCUUUACUUUCCUGAUCGCACCACCGUCUCCUUUCCUCAACCAAAACCACGCCGCCGCCACCUCCUUUCCUUUCUGUCCUAGAUCGCGGCGCCACCAUCACUCUCUUUUUCUCAAAGCCGCUCCACCACCCAGUGCCGUCUUGUUCGCACACUAGUUCCAGUGCCACAACGACGCCGACGCUCGCCCUCUCUGUUCUUGUCGUUGUAAGACCCAAGAUUUUAGAAUUAAAUAAAUAAAUAAUUUCCAACUCACGCAUAGGAUUCUGUGUAAGCGUGAGAGGAACUUGACUUUCGUUUAAUGUUUGGAUUAGUAUUAUGAAGAAGAAAACGUUAGUAAACGACUAAUUUACACUUAAAGACACGAUGGAAACUAAUUCCAAAAAUCUUCAGAGAAAUGCUAGAACUCCUCUUAAUCCUUCCAUGAUAAGCGUUUCGAUACAAAACCCUGGAAUGUACGAACAUCCGAUUCUAAUUCUCGGAGGUUUGCCGAAACUAAAUCACUGAUAGUUCAAGAAACCUAAAAUCAACGGACGAUGAAGACUUUUCCUGUUCGGAGCUUCAAAUAAAGAUUUCAUCAGCGUACGCCCACUCUAAUCGACGUUCCAAAUCUUUCUUCAGAAGGAAGUUUCUGCAUCCGAGGUCAAAACCAUAAAGUGCAUUUUAAGCCGGUAAACAUUAAAAACAAGCCUCGAAAACCAAAAAUCAUACUGAUAUUUCUUUGAAGAAUUAGAAGAUUCAGCGGGAAGAUUAUCGUGUCUAAAAUACGUUGGAAUCAGUAGAAAAAAUCGGAAUCGCAAAAUUUUCAUUUUUCCGCAUUUUCCAAAACCUAUAAAUAGCUUGAAAAUGAAAAAAAAAAACAAAAAAACAAAAAAAAAUCACAAAACACACACACAUGGCCGUGGCUUUGGAGAGGAAGAGGAGGAAAAGUGAUUUUUGCCAAUUCUUGACCGAUCGUCGUUCUGUUCGUUGCUACGCGUAGGCCUCGAGGUACUGAUGCUUUUCCUUACCUCUGAUCGUAAAUUCUGUCGCUUUUCUCUAUGUCUUUCUGUGCUCAAAGUUUUGAGCUUUUUGUAAAACUGUCCAAAUAACUUGAUUUUAGUGUCUAAACUUAUUCCCUACGUGCUCCUGAGCAUGUUUAGCGGAUUACAUUUCGCCGAAUCUCGUCGAAUCGCCGCAGAACUUCAAUUCUGCUCAAGAACCCAUUUUUAUGCUGAGGUUCAGCUUUUUGGAUCAAAAACUCUCGACUGAGCUUAGCUUUAGUAGGAUUAGUUGUUAUAAAUAUCGUUAGGAUCGACCCCAUCUAAUUUGUUUUUCGAAAUUCUGAUUUUGAGUUUCCGAGCUAAAAAUAUUGACCAAAAUACCCCUGCGACAGUUUUCGACCCGAUAAUUUUUCUGAGAGUUUCCCUGGCCUAGAUAUCGCCUAAGAAUACCUAGGAAUUGAUUUAGAUCGAAGAAAAAGUUUGAAAACCCUAUUUUUCAUAGUGGCCGAAACCUAUUUGCUUGGGUACCGUGUCCAAAAAUAAUUUUUGGGUCUCUAUGACCUGAGCCAUUGCGUAGCUCUUUCAAUUGUCGAAAUUUUGGCGCCGGUUUCGUGUCAUUCCGAGUUCUGUAGCUCGAGUUAUGCUCGGUUUAGCGAACGAAGUCUCCGUUGUCAAUUUGUGCCUAAAUAGGAACUCUGAAGCUUUAGAGGCUUUCUUUACGAUUUCGAUUAGUAUUAGUAGAUCGUGUUACUUCUAGUGAAGCUUGUGUUGAUGAAUGUGUUUUCUUUGUUCUAGGUUCGCAAUUUCCAUGCCCAACUUCUACUCACGAAGGUAAGAGUAACUCAGUUUUAGAGCGUCUUUGAGUCCUGCCUGCUUUUAUCGCACUGCAUGCGUUUGAGAUGAAGAUGUUUAUGUUGAUUGGCAUUUGAUUAUGAUUGUUGUGCUGAACUGGGAAAAUGUUUUUCUGGAGGCUUCGGCCUAGUGAACUUAUUGAGACGUGUGUCUCCGUUUUUUGAGAGGCUUCGGUCGUUUACUGGUUUCUGUCAUUGAACUGAGUUGGUAUGCAAUUGAAUUGAUUUAUGUUCGCUGAUAAUAGGAAUAACAUGUGGUUACUCCGAAUUAAUAAUUGGUUUGGGCAGUGUUGUUGAUUGGCUUGACAUUUAGGGCCUAAGCCUAAGAGGCGAUCAGGUGAUUGUGUUCACCUGGUUGUUCCGCCUUGUGUGGCGAUAAGCGGCAAUGAGGUGGUUGUGUCCACCCGAUUGUCCCGCCUUGUGUGGCGCAAUAAGUGGCUGUCAGGUGAUUGUGUUCACCUGGUUGUCCCGUCUUGUGUGACGUAUAAGUGGCUGUCAGGUGAUUGUGUUCACCUGGUUGUCCCGUCUUGUGUGACGUAUAAGUGGCUGUCAGGUGAUUGUGUUCACCUGGUUGUCCCGUCUGUUGAGACGUUAUUGAUCGACUCAUAUUGUUGGUUUAUUGUUAUCUGAUAUGUUAAGUGGUUGACAACUGAGUUAAUCUAUUUUGUUGAGGAUUGUCGAUAUCUGAUUUGUCGUUAUAUUGUUGAGGAUUAUUGAUAUCCGAAUUGAGGUUAUAUUGUUGAAGAUUUUGAUAUCUGAUUUGAUGUUAUAUGUUAAGUUGUUGAUAUAUGAGUAUAGUUAUGUUGCUGGUUUAUCUACCAUGCUAGGUAAUUAAAUUUGAAUAACAUGAUUUUCUCUCUUAUACAUGGUAAUUGCAUGGAGUUAACCCUUUCUAUUUGCUACUUGUUGUUUGGGCGCUUAACGCUAUUAGGCGAUGGAGAGCCUUCCGCUGAAGCUUAGCUGUUUCGAGUUGAAGAUCGUGACCGUGGGCGGUCAAAUAAUGGUGGAUGAAGCAGUUGCUUCUCCCUUUUUGGAGGAAUGUGUCUGAGUUUCUUUUUCCAUCUGAAAACUCUGUUGUUUAAACCUUAUCUUCGCCACUUGUCUAAGUGAGCGUACUUAUUUUGGAAACUUGCUUAUGAUAUUGUAAGACACUAUUAUUAUAUGUCGGGAACGGGUUGUUUAAUUAAGACUAUGUUAUGUAUUAAACUGUGUUUAGUUGUUUUGAAAAGGAAAAAAAUUAUCGUGUUUUAUUAGGAUUACGAAAUAGUCCUUAGACUUUGUUAGGUUACUAAUGUGACUCAUCAGUUGAGAAAUUGGGGCGUUACAAUUGUGGUAUCAGAGCUUUGGUUGAGAAACCAGAGCUUUUGGGUAGAGUGUCCGCUUAAGAUGUUUGAACUCUGAGACCGAUUGAUGGGGUGUCAAUCGGAGGAAGAGUGUGCUUGAUUACUGUUUAUAUAAAUUAUUCUUGAAGGUUGUUCGUAGGUGAAUAACCUUAUGCUAGUUAUCGUUAAUUAUACAUUUGAUAUAAGUAUAUACAUAGUUAGUUAUUAUUAUAGAACUUUGUGUUGUUCUGACCUGAGUAUCUGUUGUGGUCUUUGACUGUUCAUGAAAACAGGAACAGGAGACUUCCACAACCGAACGAGACUGAAGGUUCAGACAGCAUGAACCCGAUGGAGCAAGCUACUGCUAAUCUGACCGCCCUUAUGGCACAACAAAUUACUAACACUGCUGCACGAGAGGAAGCUGAAGCUCAACGUGCUGCUACUGCUGCUUUGGUGGCUGCACAAAACCAUGCUGAAGAAAAUGCUCGUCAUGUUCAGCGUGAGGAGCGUGAACUAGCUGCUUCUCAGACCAGGGGUCUGAACGAUUUCAAGCGUCAGGAUCCGCCGAAGUUCUCUGGGGGGCUUCGAUCCGGAGGAGGCUGACUUAUGGCUCCAGGAGUUGGAGAAGAUCUUCACCUUUCUGCGUACCACUGCUGAGAUGAAAGUGGAUUAUGCGACCUACCUGCUGACUGGUGAAGCUGAGUAUUGGUGGCGUGGGGCUAGAGCUAUGAUGGAAGCCAACCAUCAAGCCAUCACUUGGGAGUGUUUCCGUGGAGCUUUCCUGGACAAGUACUUUCCUAAGAGUGCUAGAGCCGCUAAGGAAGCACAAUUUCUGAGACUCCGUCAGGGGGGCAUGACCGUUGCUGAGUAUGCUGCAAAAUUGGAGUCGUUGGAGAAACACUUUCGCUACUUUAGAGGAUAGAUAGAUGAAGGCUAUAUGUGUGAGCGCUUCAUUGAUGGGCUGAGUUAUGAGCUGCAGAAGGCGGUGCAACCGCUAGGGCUGAACCGCUACCAAGUGCUGGUGGAGAAGACCAAGGGAAUCGAGGCCAUUGAUAACGCAAGGGGCAAGUACCGAGGUCUGAACAAGUCUAACCAAGGAAGUGGAGGUCCGACAAGGAAUAACCGAGGAAGAGACGACCAGGGCAAGCACUAUCAGAAGAAGCCGUACCUCCGUUCUCAGGGUGAGGGAGCAGCUUCUGGGACUUUUUAUCCCUCGGGCGGAAAUGCAGUUGCACUUGGAACCCCGUCGAUGAACCGAGAGGACGUGACUUGCUUUAGGUGCAACAAAAAGGGGCAUUUUGCUAAUCGCUGUACUGAAGGUCCUCUGUUGUGCUGGAACUGCAACAAGCCAGGUCACACUGCCGUAGAGUGCAGGAUUCCUAAAGUUGAGGUUGCCGGGAAUGUUGCUGGGGCAAGGAGGCCUACUGCUGGUGGAAGGGUCUACUUCAUCAGUGAAACUGAAGUUGAUGAAAACGAGGGUCUAAUCCGCGGUACCCGCGAGAUCCCGGGUAAUUCCCUUAUCGUACUAUUUGAUUAUGGUGUUACACAUUCUGUUAUAGACUUAGCUUGUGUGACGUGGUUAAAGCUAGAUGUGACAGAAUUACUGUUCGACCUGAUAGUAUCUAUCCUUGUUUCAUAAGGAUGUAACAGUAGAAGGAAUAGAAGUUAAGAGACAGAUUCUGAUGAGAGGUCGUAUGAGUUUCAGGAGUAGGGUAGUAUCUUUUGCAAGGAGGAGUUGUUAGAUAUUUGAUAGAUUAAGAGAUGACCUUAGAUUAGACGUGGCUACUUGAUGAGAUAGACUCAUUGGCCUUACUGGUGAGUUUUUCUGAAUUUUCAUCCGCAAGAUAUUGAGCCUGAUCAACUUAAUAUUGAGGGGGUGAUAUUUGGAAUCACAGAUGGCGUGGACUAUGAUAGGAGGAUUGAUUGGAUUGGAACGAUGAUUAGUCAAGUUGAUAGAUGGGUUUAUGUUGAAUGUUUGAUUCUCCUUGCGGAUAAGUUGUAGUUUUAAGAAAUAAGUCUUCCACUUGAGGAGGGUGAGAGAGCGAAAGGAUAAUAGAGGUUCAAACUUAUUAAAGGUGUAGUAGACUUUAAGUCUAAGAAUUCUUGUCCUAAGUGGGUAAAACCUAGAGACUGUCAGACUUUGGGUAGGAAACUAAGGAUUUGAUUGGCAUAGGAGUGACAAGGUUAAGGACGGAAAGUUCUAGCAUUGGGUUGCAGAUUGGAGGUUGUUAUCUGUGGGACAGUCACCAAGAACCUAAGGGUAAACGAGACGUUGAGGAUAGCUUAGCAAAUGUUAUGUGAGGGAAUGACACUCCCGAGUUCCUCUGACACCAAGUUUCGAGGACGAAACUUUGUUUUUGGGGGGUAGUAUUGUAAGACCCAAGAUUUUAGAAUUAAAUAAAUAAAUAAUUUUCAGCUCACGCAUAGGAUUCUGUGUAAGCGUGAGAGGAACUUGACUUUCGUUUAAUGUUUGGAUUAGUAUUAUGAAGAAGAAAACGUUAGUAAACGACUAAUUUACACUUAAAGACACGAUGGAAACUAAUUCCAAAAAUCUUCAGAGAAAUGCUAGAACUCCUCUUAAUCCUUCCAUGAUAAGCGUUUCGAUACGAAACCCUGGAAUGUACGAACGUCCGAUUCUAAUUCUCGGAGGCUUGCCGAAACUAAAUCACUGAUAGUUCAAGAAACCUAAAAUCAACGGACGAUGAAUACUUUUCCUGUUCGGAGCUUCAAAUAAAGAUUUCAUCCGCAUACGCCCACUCUAAUCGACGUUCCAAAUAUUUCUUCAGAAGGAAGUUUCUGCAUCCGAGGUCAAAACCAUAAAGUGCAUUUUAAGCCGGUAAACAUUAAAAACAAGCCUCGAAAACCAAAAAUCAUACUGAUAUUUCUUUGAAGAAUUAGAAGAUUCAGCGGGAAGAUUAUCGUGUCUAAAAUACGUUGGAAUCAGUAGGAAAAAUCGGAAUCGCGAAAUUUUCAUUUUUCCGCAUUUUCCAAAACCUGUAAAUAGCUUGAAAAUGAAAAAUAAAAAAACAAAAAAAAAAUCACAAAACACACACACGGCCGUGGCUUUGGAGAGGAAGAGGAGGAAAAGUGAUUUUUGCCAAUUCUUGACCGAUCGUCGUUCUGUUCGUUGCUACGCGUAGGCCUCGAGGUACUGAUGCUUUUCCUUACCUCUGAUCGCAAAUUCUGUCGCUUUUCUCUAUGUCUUUCUGUGCUCAAAGUUUUGAGCUUUUUGUAAAAAUGUCCAAAUAACUUGAUUUUAGUGUCUAAACUUAUUCCCUACGUGCUCCUGAGUAUGUUUAGCGGAUUACAUUUCGCCGAAUCUCGUCGAAUCGCCGCAGAACUUCAAUUCUGCUUAAGAACCCAUUUUUAUGCUGAGGUUCAGCUUUUUGGAUCAAAAACUCUCGACUGAGCUUAGCUUUAGUAGGAUUAGUUGUUAUAAAUGUCAUUAGGAUCGACCCCAUCUAAUUUGUUUUUCGUAAUUCUGAUUUUGAGUUUCCGAGCUAAAAAUAUUGACCAAAAUACCCAUGCGACAGUUUUCGACCCGAUAAUUUUUCUGAGAGUUUCCCUGGCCUAGAUAUCGCCUAAGAAUACCUAGGAAUUGAUUUAGAUCGAAGAAAAAGUUUGAAAACCCUAUUUUCCAUAGUGGCCGAAACCUAUUUGCUUGGGUACCGUGUCCAAAAAUAAUUUUUGGGUCUCUAUGAACUGAGCCAUUGCGUAGCUCUUUCAAUUGUCGAAAUUUUGGUGCCGGUUUCGUGUCAUUCCGAGUUCUGUAGCUCGAGUUAUGCUCGUUUUAGCGAACGAAGUCUCUGUUGUCAAUUUGUGCCUAAAUAGGAACUCUGAAGCUUUAGAGGCUUUCUUUACGAUUUCGAUUAGUAUUAGUAGAUCGUGUUACUCCUAGUGAAGCUUGUGUUGAUGAAUGUGUUUUCUUUGUUCUAGGUUCGCAAUUUCCAUGCCCAACUUCUACUCACGAAGGUAAGGGUAACUCAGUUUUAGAGCGUCUUUGAGUCCUGCCUGCUUUUAUCGCACUGCAUGCGUUUGAGAUGAAUAUGUUUAUGUUGAUUGACAUUUAAUUAUGAUUGUUGUGCUGAACUGGGAAAAUGUUUUUCUGGAGGCUUCGGCCGAGUGAACUUAUUGAGACGUGUGUCUCCGUUUUCUGAGAGGCUUCGGCCGUUUACUGGUUUCUGUCAUUGAACUGAGUUGGUAUGCAAUUGAAUUGAUUUAUGUUUGCUGAUAUUAGGAAUAACAUGUGGUUACUCCGAAUUAAUAAUUGGUUUGGGCAGUGUUGUUGAUUGGCUUGGCAUUUAGGGCCUAAGCCUAAGAGGCGAUCAAGUGAUUGUGUUCACCUGGUUGUUUCGCCUUGUGUGGCGAUAAGCGGCAAUGAGGUGGUUGUGUCCACCUGGUUGUCCCGCAUUGUGUGGCGCAAUAAGUGGCUGUCAGGUGAUUGUGUUCACCUGGUUGUCCCGUCUUGUGUAACGUAUAAGUGGCUGUCAGGUGAUUGUGUUCACCUGGUUGUCUCGUCUGUUGAGACGUUAUUGAUCGACUCAUAUUGUUGGUUUAUUGUCAUAUGAUAUGUUAAGUGGUUGACAGCUGAGUUAAUCUAUUUUGUUGAGGAUUGUCGAUAUCUGAUUUGUCGUUAUAUUGUUGAGGAUUAUUGAUAUCCGAAUUGAGGUUAUAUUGUUGAGGAUUUUGAUAUCUGAUUUGAUGUUAUAUGUUAAGUUGUUGAUAUAUGAGUAUAGUUAUGUUGCUGGUUUAUCUACCAUGCUAGGCAAUUAAAUUUGAAUAACAUGAUUUUCUCUUUUAUACAUGGUAAUUGUAUGGAGUUAACCCUUUCUAUUUGCUACUUGUUGUUUGGGCGCUUAACGCUAUUAGGCGAUGGAGAGCCUUCCGCUGAAGCUUAGCUGUUUCGAGUUGAAGAUCGUGACCGUGGGCGGUCGAAUAAUGGUGGAUGAAGCAGUUGCUUCUCCCUUUUUGGAGGACUGUGUCUGAGUUUCUUUUUCCAUCUGAAAACUCUGUUGUUUAAACCUUAUCUUCGCCACUUGUCUAAGUGAGCGUACUUAUUUUGGAAACUUGCUUAUGAUAUUGUAAGACACUAUUAUUAUAUGUCGGGAACGAGUUGUUUAAUUAAGACUAUGUUAUGUAUUAAACUGUGUUUCGUUGUUUUGAAAAGGAAAAAAAUUAUCGUGUUUUCUUAGGAUUACGAAAUAGUCCUUAGACUUUGUUAGGUUACUAAUGUGACUCCUCAGUUGAGAAAUUGGGGCGUUACAGUCGUUGCCGUCUCCGCCAGUAUAGUGGGCUUGAGAGAGAUUAGCAAGCAGUGAAGAGAUGAAGGAGAAUGGUUGGGGGCCUUUGUGAGUGUGUUUUCUGUAAGGUGUUUGAUUAUAAGCGGGUUUGAGGAGAUUGAUUUUUUUAUUUUCUGAAUUUUAUGAUGAAGAUGGUUGAAGACUUGAAGAGGAUGAAGAACCAAUGAAUAUUCUGGGCUAUUGUUUCUUUUUUAUUUUUUAAUUUUAAUUUUAAUCCAGAAAACGUUAAAUCUUGGACGGAAUGAAACGGAAAAUCAAAAAUGCAAACGAUAGGUAAUGUGGGGGACGAAAAUUGCUCAUUUUUUUUGUUGAGGACCAAAAUCGCACAAUUGGUAUAAGUGGGGACCAAAAGUGCAGUUAAGCCUUCUCCUUUACUUUGUGAGUUUCUAUAUUUUUAACUCUGUUCCUUAUGAUUAUUUAUUUAUUUAUAUAGAUUCAUGAUACCCACACCCGACGCUUACUCUAUUUCAUCGUGUAAAAUCAACUGAUUUAAUUUUCCCCUAUAGGUAUGGAUUUGUAUAUGCAUGUAUAAUUGGGGUGGUUUUUUUUAUUGAAUUUAAUUGUCCUUUUCAUAGGUUCAUGUUCUCCUUUUCGAUUUUCCUCUUUUCUCGUGCCCUUUUUCAUAUGGAUUUCUCAGACACCCUAUUUUUUUUUAUGGCUUAAUCCAGUUUUUAGUCCCCAACCUUUGCCAUAAAUAUGGCUUUAGUCCCUCGCCGGCGUAAAGGUGGGGAUUGGUACUCAGUUUUUGGCAAAAUGAUUGUCUUUGGUCCUUCCGGCCGGUUGGGUCAACGCCGGAGCUCCGGGAAGCUCAUGUGGCAUUGCCACAUCAUUUAAUAAGCUUGGUUGGAAUUUUUUUUCUUUUUCAUUUAAAAAAUUAAAAUUAAAACACCAUUAGGAUUUCUGCGUGAGAAGAGAGAGGGAGCACGUUCAAUCUUUCAAAUCGGAGAAUUUUAACAGAGAUUUGAAUAAUAGCUGGAAAAUUAGCAGUGUGAAGAAGGUUCAGAGCGUGAGAUUGGAGAAUCGAAUUAGGGGAUUAUCUGAAACAACGAUGAAGAGGUCUUCGUUGUCGUCGUCGACGGUGAUGAUGUCGUCGUCAUCGGCGAAAGAGAGCUUUGCGGUGGUGAAGAAGACGUCGAAGGAGUCGUACGAGGACUUCAGGAAAUUGAUGGUGGAGAUGAUAACGGAGAUGGAGAUAUCUGAGGCGGAGGAUCUGGAGCAGUUAUUGUAGAGUUUCCUGGCUUUGAACUCACGGAGAUAUCAUGAGGUGAUUGUGAGAGCUUUCAUGGAGAUUUGGCAACAGAUGUUCAUUUGGAACCCUGCAUCUGUGAAAAAUCUCAAAAAAUGGUGCUGUUAAAACGGAUUUGAAAGACUAGAUUUUUUUUUUCAUUCAUGGAGUUUGAUUUCUUUUCCUUUAAUCAGGCGUGAGAUUAUGCAAAAAGUUUCAAUUGGUUUUGGCUCUAUUUUCAUUUUUUUUUUGUUUCAAGAAGGAAUAAAUCAUGUAAAGGGAUGGUGUGAUUUUUAUUUCCUAUGGAGACACUCAUUCUCUGGAUCUGAGGUUUUUUCUUUAACUGAAAAAAUCUGGGUUGAAGAAAGAAGAGGAAGAAGAAGAUGCUCAUAAGAAGAAAAAUUGGUUUUUUUUGAAUUAAUUAAGAAGGAAGUUAAUUAGUGAGGGUUAAUGGUGUUUUAAUUUUAUUUUUUUAAAUGAAAAAGAAAAAAAUUCCACCCAAGCUCAUUAAAUGACGUGGCAAUGCCACAUGAGCUUCCCGGAGCUCCGGCGUUGACCCAACCGACCGGAAGGACUAAAGCCAAUCAUUUUGCCAAAAACUGGGGACCAAUCUCCACCUUUACUCCAGCGAGGGACUAAAGCCAUAUUUAUGACAAAGGUUGGGGACCAAAAACUGGAUUAACUUUUUUUAUUGAUUAUUCAUGGGUCGAACUAGUUCUUCUUUCAUUUUUAUGAAAAUUUGAGCUCAUGUGUUUGGCACUACUAUCAUCUACUGAUUUUUAAUGCCACACUUCACUAUGAUUCACCACACGAUGCAUGCCACCAUAAAAUAAAAAAAUCAAAGCACAGCAACAUUACAUAACUAAACUUGCUUAUAAAAAAAAAAAACAUAACUAAACUCAGAAAUCACAAUAAAAGGAUCACAAAUAGCUAGCAUAAAUUCAUUCCAUAAUAAUAUUGUAAGUUGUAACCACACUCAUGAAGCAUCACCUUUUAUUUGUUCUAAUAAUAUACAAAAGGGCCACACGGUGAUACAUGACAAGUAAAGGCAUAAAGGUAUAUUGGGGGAAUUAUAAUUACUAAACUUUUCAGUAGCUCAAAUCCUAUGAUUUGAUUUUGCCCUAGUGCUUCAAAAUCACCCACAGAAAUUUAAGGAUCACAUGCAUAUACUCAUAAGCUCCAAGCUCCUGGCGCAUAUACCAAAUUAAUCAGGGGUGGGGGCCAUGGUGGGGAGGGUGCCCAUGUGGCCCAGGAGGAGGUGCAUGGGCAUGAGGACCAGGCGGUGGUGCAUGAGCAUGAGGACCAGGCGGUGGUGCUGCUGGACCAGGAGGUGAAGGAGAUGGAUGAGCAUGUGGUGGCGGAGAAGGUCCGGGAUGCGGUGGACCCGGGUGGUGGUGAGGGCCUGGGCCUCCUGGUCCUGGUGGUGGUGGAUUAGGCAUAUGUUCCUCAACUGAUGAAUUUGUGGAGGAGAUGAAUUAGUGACAAUGGGUUUAAACAAUUGAAACCACUGCUUUGAUUAAUAUAGGGGAUCAUAGAAAGAAAGAGCCCUUAUCUUAUCUUCAGCAAUCCAUCAGUCAAUGCCCAAUUUUACUUUCUGUUAGGCAACUAACAUUCUUCAAUUUGUGUAGGUGAGAGUGGAAAAUCCUGUAAUUUUAUUAAAAUGGCGAAUGAAAGUUCUACCCUGCUUACUAUUUACUGCGUGUGAUGAUGCAAAUUUAUAAAGCCAUCUAGAAGCUAGUGCUUAAUUUUCAAUGUGUGCAUAAUAUAUUUUUGGUCUAAGGAAAAAAAUUAUACAUUGAGAAAUAUGACAUGACAUGACUUUUUAGUGUACUGAAAAGAUAAAUUUACAUCUAGAUUUAGUCGAUCACCUUCUGACAUAUUAUUUUAUAAUAGUUUUUAAUUAUCAUUAACAUUUAUAGCAGUUAAAAACUAUCACUAAAAUGUAUGGUUGUAAUGUGUUGAGAAAAAAUCAUAUGUCGAUGUAUCACCGCUCUUUAUUAUAUAUAACCCCAAUUACCUUUGGCCCAAAUAUGUUUGGUUUUGACGAAAACGAAAUGAAUGAAUGGAGAAGAAUAGAAAAUAAUACUGAUAUUAAUGUAUUUAGAAACACAAAAGCAUUCAUCCAUGAAUCUUAACCCAAUCCACUGAAUGGCUCUCCUAGGGUUAGGGAGGCGGCCGCCAAACAAGGUUUUGUUUAUCCAAGGUUGAUCACCACGUUUUACUUCUCUCUUUUGACUAAACGCUGACCCUGUCUGGUGAACCAUAUUCUUUUCUGCGUCUAUUGCAUGCAACAGAGGUUUUUUCUGCUAUCAAGACUGUACGAAGGCCGAUCAUGGCGUUUAAUGGUGAUGUUCCGAUUCUGAACUGGGAAGAGGAGGAGAAUGUCGUUCUUGACCUAGGUGAGGCUGAGGUUGACCCGCAGCUCGGUGCGAAUGUCUGGCUCGUUGGGAAGGUGUUGUCCCCGAACAAGGUUACGACACCUAUUUUUAGAAGCGUCAUGCUUAGGCUCUGGGAGACAAGGAACGUGAAGGAGAUACGACAUGUUGGCCCUAAUCUUUUUGCUUUUGAGUUUGGCAAAACAAAAGACAGAGAUUUGUUUCUGCGAUCUGGUCCGUGGCUCUUUGAUCGUCACCUGGUGGUGCUGGAUGUUUUUGACAUCACCAAGGAUCCCAUGCAAGUGCCCUUGACCAAAGUUCCUCUCUGGGUACAGGUUCAUGGGCUCCCGUACACGAUGAGAUCAGAACGGAUAGCGAAGAGUUUGGGGGAAUCUUUCGCCGGCUACCUGGGUUGGGACAAAUAUGAGGCACACAGGUAUGGGUACUGCUUGCGGAUUAGAGCUUGGGUGGAUGUGACUACGCCGCUGCGGCGAGGUCAACUCGUAGCAACUAGAGGAGAAGCCCCCCUAAGGGUAACGUUUAAAUAUGAAAAGAUAGUCAAUAUUUGUUACCGUUGUGGGAAACUAGACCACGUUCUCCGAAACUGUGCGGUGGAGGGGAAUGGUGGUGCUCUCCGUUUUGGUGCUUGGAUGAGAGCUGAGGAUGAUCACCCUGUUGGAGGUUACCGUGGGGGAGAAAAUAAAGGAUACAUACAGCCCAAUGAGGAUGGAAAGGAACCCUAUGAGGAAGAUGGAGAUUAUGUUGAGGAGGAGGAACUGGAACCUGAAUCAGAUUUGGUGCAAAAUUGUGACGGAGGGAACAAAAAUUUGAACGAACACGAGGAGGGAGAAAACUGUGAGCUUGCUGCCACUUAUAGUAAGGAGGACACAGUUUACUUGCAAAAAAACACAUGUAGGUGGUGAAGGUAAACAAAAGGAGACCAAGCAGCACUUAGAUGGAAAAGUUUUUAAUUUUGGGGCCCAAAAAUCACGUGGCUUCCAGACCAAAAUGGGGCCAGUGGCAAGGGAUAUGAGAAGAGGCAGAAACAUGGGAAUUAAUAGAAGGGAAAGUGGUGAUGGAUUUGAAAAUCAUGGCUUACCAAGAAAGCGGGCAGGUGGACCAUCUUCUACAUUUGCUCAGCAGCGCACGGGGUUCUCUCCCCCACUGAAGAAGAUAAAUAAUUCUGAUGGAUUGGGGAUGGCGGGCACUGCUGAGCAGUCCCGCCCACCUCAAUGAGGAUUUUAGCUUGGAACUGUCGGGGGUUGGGGAGCAUCCUGGCAGUUCGAGCCCUUGGUAGGCUCAUUCAGUCUGAAGCUCCCGGCAUAGUGUUCGCGAUGGAGACAAAAUGGUACGAGUAUGAGGCACAACGUCAUAGAGGCUUGGGAGGCCUUCCAAAUGUCUUUCCGGUUCAAUGUGCAGGCCAAGGACAUUCGCGAGCAGGAGGUUUAUGUUUGUUUUGGGGUCCAGCAGUGGACGUUACCAUUAUUUCAAGUUCUUUGAAUCAUAUUUAUUUUACUGCUACUCAUGUGGAGGAGCAGAAGGUCAUGCAGAUUUUGGGGAUUUAUGGCUUCCCCGAUGAGAGGAGGAGAGUUGAUACUUGGGGUCUGGUUAAGAGACUGUUGGUUGACACUGCUAUCCCUGCGCUCUGUGUAGGGGAAUUCAAUGAUUGUCUUUCUCCGCAGGAUAAGUUGGGAGGAGACCCCCUUGAUCUUCAGCAUAUACAGAGGAUGGCUAAAGUCAGAACCGAAUGCAAUUUGCAGGAGGUGGAUUUUACAGGAUACAGGUAUACAUGGUCUAAUAAUAGGGCACCAGAUACAAUCGAGGAGAGGCUAGAUUAUGCGCUUACAAAUGACGCCUGGGAUGAAUUGUGGCCUUCAACGGUGGUUCACCAUUUACCCAGGUAUAAAUCUGAUCAUAAUCCUAUUUUACUAACUUGUGGUGUUCGCAGGAAUAGAGAAGAGAUAGGCCGAGCAAAAAUUUUCCGAUUUGAGGAGAUGUGGCUCCAAGAAGGACAAGAGUGUGCUGAGAUAGUGACAGAGACUUGGUGUAGACUGCGAAAUGACCUCCCCACCAAAAUAGCUGAGGUGGGAGGGGCCCUAAAGUGUUGGGGAAAAGACAAGUUUGGUGAUAUUCCCAGGAAGAUUUCUGAUCAGAAAGCCCUAUUGCAAGACUUGCAAAGAAAGGAUCAAACAACGGAGGUGCUGAGUGCCGCGUCAGUGGUUGAAAAAGAGCUUGAUAGUUUGCUGGAACAAGAGGAAAAGUGGUGGCGCCAACGUUCUAGAGCCACCUAGUUAAAGUGCGGAGAUAAGAAUACCAGUUUUUUCCAUAAAAAAGCAACUCAGCGGCGAAAGAGGAAUAUGAUAGAGAAAAUAGAGGAUGAUGGAGGAUGUGAAUAUGUCCAUGAUCGUGACAUUGCAAGAGUUUUAAAAAAUUAUUUUAUGAACUUGUUCUCUACUUCUAACCCUGACAGGAUUGAGGAGACCACAUCUUUGGUAGCAAACAGGCUGUCAGACUCUCAUUUGUAGGUUCUUGCUGAUCCUUUUACAAAGGAAGAUGUAGAAGAGGCCUUGUUCCAAAUGCAUCCGACCAAAGCUCCGGGAGCGGAUGGCUUCCCGGCGCUUUUCUACCAGCGGUUUUGGGAUGUCAUUGGGGACGAUGUAGCAGAGUUCUAUUUGCAGAUUUUGCAUGGGCUUGUGUCGCCAGGUAUUAUCAAUCAUACGAUGAUUGUUCUCAUUCCUAAGGUUAAGAAAGCUGUUAAUGCGACCCAGUUUAGGCCUAUUAGUUUGUGUAUUGUUCUGUUUAAUAUUGUGACUAAGGUGAUAGCAAAUAGGCUGAAAAAUAUUUUACCUGAUUUAAUUUGCGAAUCCCAAAGUGCAUUUGUACCAGGACGUAUGAUCACAGAUAAUGCUCUCAUUUCUUAUGAGUGUUUUCACUUUAUGAAGAAAAGAACUAAUGGCCGGAAUGGCACGAUGGCGCUGAAAUUGGAUAUGUCCAAAGCGUACGACCGGAUCGAAUGGUCUUUUUUGAGUUUUUUAAUGACAUCUAUGGGUUUUCCACAUAAUUGGGUGAAUUUAAUUAUGAGUUGUGUAUCAACGAUAUCUUUUUCCAUUAUGUUGAACGGUAACCCGUAGGAAAAUUUUGUCCCUAAUAGAGGUUUAAGACAAGGGGAUCCGCUUUCUCCUUAUCUUUUUAUCUUGUGUGGGGAGAUGUUUUCUGCUUUGAUUAAUAGAUCCAUUGCUUCAAAAGCACUUUCUGGAAUUAAAAUAGCGAGGAAUGCUCCUGUUAUUUCACAUUUGCUUUUUGCAGAUGAUAGUAUCCUCUUUGGUAGAGCACCAGUACAGGAGGCGGAAUGCCUAAAAGAGAUUUUAGUGACUUAUGAACGUGCUUCCGGGCAAGUAGUCAACCUUGACAAGUCAAUGCUCUCAGUGAGCCGAAACGUGCAGCAAACCAGUUUUGAUGAGCUUAAGCAUCUAUUGGGAGUAAAGGUCGUAGAGAGCUAUGACAAGUACUUGGGGCUACCAACAAUUAUUGGUAAGUCAAAACGACAAAUUUUCAAUUUUGUUAAGGCAAGAGUGUGGAAAAAGUUAAAAGGUUGGAAGGAAAAUUUUCUUUCACGAGCCGGGAGGGAAGUUUUAAUUAAAUCAGUGGCGCAAGCCAUUCCCUCUUAUGUUAUGUCCUGUUUUCUUUUACCUGACGGCCUGUGUGCAGAUAUUAAUAGCAUGAUCUCCAACUUCUUUUGGGGAGGAGAUGUAUCUCAGAAGGGGAUGCAUUGGACAAAGUGGAACAAGUUGUGCAAAAACAAAUUGGAGGGUGGUCUUGGAUUCCGGGACUUCAAGGCUUUUAAUAUAGCUCUGGUGGCGAAAAAUUGGUGGAGAAUCUAUUCCAAUCCAGAAGCAUUAGUUGCUCAAGUUUUUAAAGGUGUUUAUUUCCAGAGUGGUGAUAUGUGGGGAGCAAAAAAAGGCUAUCGACCGAGCUAUGCAUGGUCAAGCAUUCAUAAAUCGGCUUGGGUUUUUCAGAGAGGUGGUUUAUGGCGUAUUGGUAAUGGUAAGAGAAUUAAUCUGUGGACAGACAAUUGGUUGCCCGGAGGGGCACCCACUCUUUUCCGGCAGGAUGUAGUCGAGGAGCUUAAUAUACAGGUGGUCAGUAAUUUACUUGAGCCAGACACUUCCAGAUGGCACUCAGAAUUAGUGGAGCAUAUCUUUCACCCAGGGACAGCUAGGCGCAUCAUGGGAGUGCCCCUUGCUACUCAAGCACGGGAUGAUUUUCUUUGCUGGCCUUUCACCAUGGAUGGGAGGUACUCUGUUAAGACUGGUUACCAUUUUGUUUGUACUGCUUGGGAGGGUGAUGUUGUAAGACCCAAGUUUUUAAGUUUAGAAUAAGUGAAUAAAAUCCUAUUCACGAUUAGGGUUGAUGUAUCGUUAAGGGAAAACCUGGACAAAAGUUUACUAAAUGAAAUAAAUUUAUGAAGGAGAAAGUUCAGGAAAAGUCUAAGGAGUGUAUCGAAGUCGAUAAAAGUUAUAGCACGACUAAUAUACGCUUAAACCUAGGGCAAAAACGCUAGUAAAUAGCUAAUUUACACUUUAAGACACGAUGGAAACUAAUUCCAAAAAUCUUCAGAGAAAUGUUAGAACUUCUCUUAUUCGUCUAUAGACAAGCAUUUCGAUACGAAACCCUGGAAUGUACGAACGUCAAAUUCCAAUACUCGGAAGUUUGCCGAAACCAAAACCCUGAUAGUUCAAGAAACCUAAAAUCAACGGACGAUGAAGACUUUUUCUAUUCGGAGCUUCAAAUGAAGAUUCCACACGCGUACACCCAUUUCUCUUGAUGUUUUCAAUCUUUCUUCAGAAGGAAGUUUUCUCUUCCGACAUCCACUGCAAAAAGUAACUUAUCGGGUAAAAUAGAUUUACACCGACUUUGCAUUAUGCACCUAAAAUCCAAGGAACCUCUUUUGAGUUUUGGAAUUCUGUCGCCAAAACCUAUCUUAGAAUUCACGGAGAAUGAAGCCGGAAAAAUCGGAAUCGCGAAACUUUCAUUUUCCCGCGUUUUUCCAUCCUCUAUAUAUAGCAAGAAAAUGAGAAAAAUGGCAAAACUUCACCAUUUUCUCUCCCAAAACCCGCGAGCUUCACCAAGAGGAGGAGGAGAAGAGAUUUUCGCCAUUUCUUGCUUGAUCGUUGAUUCAACAGUUGCUACUUGAAGGUAUCGAGGUAUAGUCGCUAAUCCUUACCUCUGAUCGUCGUUUCCGUAGCUUUUCACUAUGUCUUUCUGUGCUCUUAGUUUUGAGGUUUUUGCAAAACUAUCCAGAUAACUUCAUUUUUCUAUCUAAACAUCUUCCCUACGUGCCCAAGAGCAUGUUUAGCGAAUAAUAUUACGCCGAUUCUCGAAAAACUAUCGUCGAGUUUCAAUUCUGCUUCAAAUACCCAUUUUGGGACAAAGUUUCGUCCUUUGGGCUGAAAACUAUCGCCUUAGCUUAGUGCUAGUAGGAUUAGUCGUCAUAAACGUCGUUGGUGACGUCCCCAUCCAAUUUGCUUUUCGAAAUUUCAGUUUUGAAAUUCUGAGCUAAAAAUAUUGACCAAAAUACCCCUGCGACAGUUUUCGAUCCGAUUCCGAGUUUAGAUUAACCUUAGUUACGACUAAUAAUAACCUAGGAACCAAGUUUGAUCGAAGAAAAAUCGACACACACAAUUACCAUGUGUGGCCGUGAGCACCCUAGGAGGAGGAAGAAAAUUCUUUUUUCGAAAACUUGUUCUUUCGCGCUAGAUUAUCGUACCUCGGAGUAUAUGCUACUUCGAGUAACCCUAGUAUUUAUUGUUUGCUGAGUUUCUGACUCAUUGUGAUUGAUUUCUGUGGUUUUGCUCUAAAGGUUCUUUUGAGGAAUUUCCUGAAGAGCAAGGAGUUGAUUGUGUAGGAACGUUCGAAGAGAACCCUGGAGAAUCUACAGGUGAGGGCUUCUCACUGAAGUAUUAGUUAAUGCUUUAGGUGUCGACGUAUUCGACUUGAUUUACUGUUUAUGCACUUGUUUGUGUUUGAUUGGGAAAAGUUUUCUGAGGCUUCGACUGACAAUGUAGAUGAUUCAUCUACUGACUGUUUUUGAGAUUGAAUUACAUGGUACGUGCUAAAUGGUUAAUCUAGGAUGUGUGAUAUUUGCUUUAUAUGCUAAGUGCUACGUGGUUAUUCUAGGAGAUGUUGAUAUAUGUGACAUGCUUGUUGACUGUGCUGAUUUAUCUAUGUCAUUUCACAUAUGUCUGUGGUACUGAGGAGUGAGAAUAACGGGCAGGUCAUGCCGAUUUUAUUUUGAGAUUUUGGAGAAAGUUUGAUAGGACGAACGAAGAUUCGGGCCUUGUUAUGGUCUUCGUGGAUCGAGACACUCUCGGGGAGUUAAUUGGGAUUAUGGGACUUUGGAAACUCAUAAGAUUUGCGAUAAGACUAAUGGAAACUAUUUUAUAAGGAAAAUUCAUAAGACAUUAAACAACCUCUAAAUCUUCAAAUAAUGACAACAAACUCGAAAGAAAGCUUAGGAUUCAAAUCUUAGUUUUGGAAAAGAGGGAGUGUCGUCGGAUCCAAGUGUUGAGAAAAUUAAUAAGUUCUGAGUACGUUGAUACUCUUGUGCUCGAGUAGCAGUUGUGUUGUUGGGCUAUCUGAGAGAUAAGCCGAGGAAACAGGUAGUUUCCGAGUAUGUUGAUACUCUUUGCUCGUUGAGCCGUUUUGACCAUCGGAUGGAGAUGAGUCGGAUGAUUUGGAGAUCAUCAUGAGAGAAUGUGUCGUUGUAAAGGAUUGUCUUUUGUCGCAGAAUCGACUUUACCUUAGGGUAUGUUUUUAGAGACAAUAAGUUAGCCAGAACACGUGGCGACGUGUCGAGUGAGGUCGGAGACGUUGUUUGGCUAAUCAUUUUGCAUUCAUGCACCAUUAAUGAGGUAUUAACACGAGACGAACUUCGGACCUCGGUGGAUUCCAAAAUGGUCAUAAGACCCGGAUUUCCGCGUAAGAGCGCUAUUAGGCGACUCUUAGUAGCAGACCGAAAUGGCAGGCCUUCGGGUUUUAUGCUGAUCUGACUACCGUUGUUGUUGGAGUAAGAGGCACGCGGGCCGAAAUGGUCCCACCGUGGCUGGUGCUAGGGCUGAUCCGUUGAUGUCCAUCCCUUCCGGAAUGCAUUUGGUUAACUGGGUUAACCGGCAUUUGCAUUUCACGCAACAUGCAUACUGACUUAGUUGCUGAGUGUGUUUGAUACUUGUUAAUCCUAUUUGAUGCAUGCUAUUUGUUAUUACUGUCGUUUAUAUUCAUUGUGGAAUAUGCAACCUUAGGAUGCUAUCUUUAACUUAUAAGCCUAAGCGGCUGUCUCUUAUCUGUACCUAUUGGGAUUAUUAAUUACAUAAUUCUUUGGAGUUGACCCUCGCGUCUUCUGUGUGUGCUUUGGCGGACUACGCCCUUUGUCAGAUGUCUUUAGCGGAUUGGUUCACGAUGGUCCACCCUUCGGGGGGGACUAGAUAUGAGAUGAUAGAUCAGGACGACCCCGCUAGCCAUCGAGCGACGUACUCGGGGAGGAUCAUGGAGGAUCGCGUAGACAGCGGAGGACACUUGAUGGAAGGAGUGCUGAGGAAGUGCACUGUCAGUUUCAACUUGCCGCCCGGCAUGCACUGCGAACCAGGAGUAGGAGCACCACCACCACC